UACGGGGGGGGCAAGCGUUGUUCGGAAUUACUGGGCGUAAAGGGUUCGUAGGUGGCUUGCUAAGUCAGACGUGAAAUCCCUCAGCUUAACUGGGGAACUGCGUCUGAUACUGGCGAGCUUGAGUGCAGGAGAGGAACGCGGAAUUCCAGGUGUAGCGGUGAAAUGCGUAGAGAUGUGGAGGAACACCGAUGGCGAAGGCAGCCUUCUGGGCCAACACUGACGCUCAUGCACGAAAGCGUGGGGAGCAAACAGG
rnacentral:rRNA from 1 species